UACGUAGGGGGCAAGCGUUGUCCGGAUUUAUUGGGCGUAAAGAGCGUGUAGGCGGCUUUACAGGUCCGUUGUGAAAACUCGAGGCUCAACCUCGGGACGUCGGUGGAAACCGUUUGGCUAGAGUCCGGAAGAGGAGAGUGGAAUUCCUGGUGUAGCGGUGAAAUGCGCAGAUAUCAGGAAGAACACCCGUGGCGAAGGCGGCUCUCUGGGACGGUACUGACGCUGAGACGCGAAAGCGUGGGGAGCGAACAGG
rnacentral:rRNA from 1 species